ACCGUUAAGCAGUGGCAAUAUCGUAACCAAUGAAGGUCUCCUGAGGUACGAUUAUUGGCUAGUUGAAAACUUUUACACGUUGUUAAGAUAAGUCUACACGGUACACUAAAAAGUUGCUAGGCUAUUUCUGUUUGCUAGAGCUGUGUCUCAGUUUUGUCCAGACGUGAGAGUU
rnacentral:snRNA from 1 species